GACGAACGCUGGCGGCGUGCUUGACACAUGCAAGUCGAACGGAAAGGCCUGCUUUCCCUUGUGGAUUGCGGGUACUCGAGUGGCGAACGGGUGAGUAACACGUGAGUGAUCUGCCCCCAACUUGGGUAUAAGCCUGGGAAACUGGGUCUAAUUCCCGAUAGGACUGCAGGGUGGUGCCUGUGGUGGAAAACGAUUUUCUAGUGGUUGGGGAUGAGCUCGCGGCCUAUCAGCUUGUUGGUGGGGUAAUGGCCUACCAAGGCGGCGACGGGGAGCCGGCCUGAGAGGGUGGACGGCCACAUUGGGACUGAGAUACGGCCCAGACUCCUACGGGAGGCAGCAGUGGGGAAUAUUGCACAAUGGGCGGAAGCCUGAUGCAGCGACGCCGCGUGGGGGAUGACGGCCUUCGGGUUGUAAACUCCUUUCGACCGCGAGGAAGCCACCUGGUUGGAAGGGUGGUGACGGUAGUGGUAGAAGAAGCACCGGCUAACUACGUG
rnacentral:rRNA from 1 species